rnacentral:rRNA from 4 species
GGGUGACCUCAGAUCAGGUAGGGAUACCCGCUGAACUU